rnacentral:misc_RNA from 1 species
UCACGUCUUACGACGGCAGUUUCACUAGAGUUCCCAGCGUUACCUGAUGGCAACUAGUGAUGGGGGUUGCGCUCGUUGCGGGACUUAACCCAACACCUCACGGCACGAGCUGACGACAGCCAUGCAGCACCUGUGCUGGCCCCUUACGGACACGGGCUUUCACCCGCUUUAACCAGCAUGUCAAGCCCAGGUAAGGUUCUUCGCGUUGCAUCGAAUUAAGCCACAUGCUCCGCCGCUUGUGCGGGCCCCCGUCAAUUUCUUUGAGUUUUAAUCUUGCGACCGUACUUCCCAGGCGGCUUACUUAACGCGUUUGCUACGCCACAAAAGGGGUCGAUUCCUCUUACAGCAAAUAAGCACCGUUUACGGCUAGGACUAC